AUGCCAAAGUCCAGCUUCUGCAGAACUGGCUCCAGCCACAAACCAACCUCAUGAAAUGAAAUCAGAGGCCACAGGAAAAUGCCCAACACUGCACAGAGACGCCAAGAGAGGAAAUGGAACACACUCAACUCCAGUCGUACCUCAGUCCUGCCCCACGAUCUUCAGGAGACAUCUCAAGAGCUUCAGGUACCUUCAGAAGAUUUGAGGACACUAUCAAAUGUAGCCAAACACUGGAUUUUUAAGAUGAUACUUUUGUGAGGAGACAGGAGACAGCUACAACUUGUCUUUAAAACAGUAAAAAAAAAAUCAGGCACAAACUCAGGGUUGAGCUACACUCAGGUUUUACGUGCCACACGGCGCGAGAGCAGCCUGUGUUUAUCCUCAUUGAAGCCCCAGUUGGAGUAUUUCAAGCAGCCUCUUCUAAAAAUAACCUGGUCACACUACAUUCCAACUGGCAGCCAUCAGGAGGACAGAGAGAUGGGGUUAAGGGGGGUAGAAACAGCAACACCCUCCACCACCACCACCACCAACCCCGACACCACCACCAACCUCCCAAACACGCCUGAUCUUGUGUCAGUGACAUGGCAUGGACAGACAGAUGAGAGGGGACAUGUGUGUCCCUAACACAAUGUUGGAUGUUUACUUUAAGGCAAAGUUUGACAUUUUGGGAAAUAUGCUUUCUUGCCAAGAGUUAGAUGUGAAGAUCAAUGCUAGACUGAUAUCGUGAGCUAAAUAUGAAGCUACUGCCAGCAACCGUGAAUCCACCUACCAACACCUCUAAUGUUCACAUCGUAUCUCAUUCAUUUCAUCUCUAAAAAAAUUGACAAUUUUGACAUUUUACAGGGGAUGAUGUAUCAGACUACUUCUUGGUCAGGACCAGUGGUUUCAUAUUUAGCAUGCAGACAUCAGAGUGUUAUCACUCUUCUCAUCUAACUCAGCAAGAAAGAAAAUAGACAUAUGAGCCAAUAAAAGAGAGUGAAUAUUAUCAAUUGCAUAUUCUCGUACGAGGAUCAAUGUAAAUGUGGCAAUUUACUCUGAUACGAAUCAAAGAUACAAAUCUCCUAGCCCUACUUUGACCACAGCCGGUCCCACAAACGUUACUUCAAAAAGUGAAAAAUCAGAGCAGAGACCCGUCCCUAAAGUUAGGUUUACUGUGCAAGAAUCAAGAAAAAAAACAUGAUUAUACAAAAUAUUUGAAACAUUUUGAUUCAUACUGGAAGCAGGUUAAAAAUACAAACAAAAAAUACUCACAAAAACUGGGAUUUUUACAGUGUUCACAUGACUAUGUCAUGGUGAUGGUGGAUGCUACUACACAAAUACUUUCUUGGAAGUUGCACAAGCUGUAGUUCUCAGGUGCCACACACAUGGUUCAUAGUUUUAUGAACAUAAUGUUCAGUACACAGGACAAUAGAGAUGAUGUGGUAAAAAAGAGUAAACUGAUCUAGAACUGGGGGAUUACCAUAAAAUAACUAGACUAGACAAGACUAGAGUUGCUGUCAACACUUCAAUCAGAAGUUCCCGACACACAGUAAGUAUCUGGUAGGGUCAAUAUCACUGCCAAGGUUAAUCAUACAAUGAUACAGUCACAAUCAGAAGAACCACUAAUUACACUGCUCUACACAUGUAUUUGAAUGCUUCUAAAAAAAUAAAUAAAAAUAGUGUUUAUCAGCAUCUAAACAGAAUAUAAAAUAUGGUACAUGUGAAGGAUAAACAUACACUUUAACUAGUUUUCUCCUCAUAGUAAGUAUCCUGACAUGACUGCAUACCUUCACCUCAUCUUAAAGUUCAGAGGAGCUAAACAUAACUGCAAAAUAGCAAAUUAACAAACUGUAGAUUUCCUUUUUAGUCUCAAUCUUGCCAGUGAGUCAGCAGUCAGUCUUGUUGCAGGUUUAAAUGUCCUUAAUCAUAUGGAUCACACAUAUUCAAACAUGAAUAAAAACACAACCAACAGGGCAAGAAAAGUGUCUAAUUCCACUGCAUAAUUUCCUCAAUAUAAUAAUAUAAUAAUCCUCAAACAAUGUUCAACAAAUAAAUAACUAACAGUAAUGGAUUUGGCCUAACACAAAUUCUGAUAUAAUUUGUUGUGUGACUGUGACUUCAUGACGGAGAAUCACAAAUACAUUGUGACUCUUGUUUAUAUGGUAAAUGACUUGAUCACAUAAUUUGACAGUGAAGAAACAGCCAUGGCUGGUUUGUUGUUUUGUUUUCCACCAGUCGACCCAUCCAAUCAGAGGGUUCCUUCUGAGACACACCCACGCUGUGUCCAGUGAUCUGAUUGGUUCGACUGUUUCAUGUCACACCUCUGUAUCAGUUCCGGCUUUGGAGAAACAGCUGAGUCACACACACACACACACACACACACAGAGUAAUCAUGCACACACUGCACUCCGGUUUCACAACUCUUAAGACACUUUGCGUUUGUUGUGGGAACAAACAGCAGCACAGAGGGUCUGUCCUCGAUAUCCAGUGUCACAGAAACACAUGACGUCUAAUUAGUAGCAUGACAAAUAGAUUUUUCACAUUUCGACCAUUAAAGAUGAGGAUCAUGCUCUUUGUGUGUUUUCAGUGGUAGUACUGUUAUCAAAGUCAAGAUCUCAUUUUCCUGCCACCAACUAGUUUCCUCAUUAGCUUGAUGUAAAUAUAUACAUUUUGUUAUUUUCAAGUUAAUUCAAUCCCCCAUUUAUUUUAAACUGCACCUGCUGUUACCACGGUAACUGACUCUGAUAAAGAACUCACUGUGAACAGGCACUGAAUGGCUAGUACUAAAUAAAUGGAGAAAUCUCUGUCUGUCCUCUUAUUUUCUCAACAACCGCUCAUCCAAUCAACGUCAGGUUUUGCAACUGUAUUGCUGAGGACCCACAAAAGUGCAGUGUCGUCCGUGAAGUUUUUUGGAUGAGUGAGUGUCAACAAAAUCCACAAAACAGACAUCAAAUAAUCUAUAUACAGAACUUAUGCAACCAUUCAACUGACAACUCACAAAGGCUUCAAUUGUGACACAACUGUGAUGUCACAGAACAUCAAAGGCAACCUUCUUUAUUACACAGAGAGAAUACUUUUAUUAGAGUAUUCCAGUAGAGGAGUAUUCCAGUAGAAGAAACUACUUGUUUCAUUAUACUGCAAAGAUCAUCCUGCUGGAACAGAGGAAAUUACACCAUCACUUGGAAAACACUAGCUUUCUACAAAAUGGACAUCCUGAGUGGCUGGCUCUGCACGACCACUGGGAAUCUCCUCAGAUCAGUGCCUGCUGGUCUAGGACUUCAUCGUCCCUGAGGAACCCUGGUCAAUCAUUCAACACCUGUGAUGCCACCAAACCGAGGUAGUGCCCUGCAUACAAGCUAUGGCCGACUUCCUGAAAACAGCUUGUUAAGUGCGGUCAAGAAUCUCCUCAGAUCAGAACCUGCUGUUCUAGGACUCCAACAUCCCAAAGGAAACCUGGUCAGUCAUUCAAUACCUGUGCUGCCACCAAAUCAGGUUAACACCCUGCACACAAGCCAUGGCCGACUUCCUGAAAACAGCUUGCUAAGAGCGGUUGAGAAUCUCCUCAGAUCAGAGCCUGAUGUUCUAGGACUUCAUCGUCCCAGAGGAACCAAGGUAUUUUCGUGUUACCUGUGUAUCUGGACCGAGCGAAGUCUCUGACCAUCACUGUGAUGACCAGCACAGCCAGCAGGACGGCCAGGAGGCUGUAGGCUCUGAAAGAACCGAAGGCCACAAACCUAGAGAGAAACAACCCUUAGGAGCUCCGUGUUGUGAGGACGGGAGUCUGUCUGAUAUCCCUGCGUCAUGAUGCCUACCAGAACACCGUGUUGGCUGCAGCAAACAGGGC